GACGAACCGUGCGAACGUUAUUCGGAAUCACUGGGCUUAGCGCGUGUAGGCGGGGCGGCACGUCGGUCGCUGAAAGCCCCCGGCUCAACCGGGGAACGGGCGCCGAUACGACCGCCCUGGAGGAACGUAGGGGGACCUGGAACUUCCGGUGGAGCGGUGAAAUGCGUUGAGAUCGGAAGGAACGCCCGUGGCGAAAGCGAGGUCCUGGACGUUUACUGACGCUGAGACGCGAAAGCCAGGGGAGCGAACGGG
rnacentral:rRNA from 1 species